rnacentral:rRNA from 1 species
AUGUGGUUUAAUUCGAAGCAACGCGAAGAACCUUACCAGGCCUUGACGUGCAGAGAACUUUCCAGAGAUGGAUUGGUGCCUUCGGGAACUCUGACACAGGUGCUGCAUGGCUGUCGUCAGCUCGUGUCGUGAGAUGUUGGGUUAAGUCCCGUAACGAGCGCAACCCUUGUCCUUAGUUACCAGCACGUUAUGGUGGGCACUCUAAGGAGACUGCCGGUGACAAACCGGAGGAAGUGGGGAUGACGUCAAGUCAUCAUGGCCCCUACGGCCUGGGCUACACACGUGCUACAAUGGUCGGUACAAAGGGUUGCCAAGCCGCGAGGUGGAGCUAAUCCCAUAAAACCGAUCGUAGUCCGGAUCGCAGUCUGCAACUCGACUGCGUGAAGUCGGAAUCGCUAGUAAUCGUGAAUCAGAAUGUCACGGUGAAUACGGUUCCCGGGCCUU